UUCGCUUCUUGGCCUUUUGGCUAAGAUCAAGUGUAGAAAAUGGACCAAGCACUUUAUUCUUGGCUCCCUUUUUGCCUCCUUUCUAAGGUGCUUCCACCCAGUGGUUUACUAGUAAUGUGUUAACUCUAGAAGAAAAAUAUUACCAGCAUAGAAUUCAGUCUUUAUAUUAAUGCAGCUCUUCGAACUAUUUUGUGGAAUCUUCAAAGUCUG
ensembl:snRNA U2 U2 spliceosomal RNA